rnacentral:rRNA from 1 species
UGGAGUCUGCAACUCGACUCCAUGAAGUCGGAAUCGCUAGUAAUCGUAGAUCAGAAUGCUACGGUGAAUACGUUCCCGGGCCUUGUACACACCGCCCGUCACACCAUGGGAGUGGGUUGCAAAAGAAGUAGGUAGCUUAACCUUCGGGAGGGCGCUUACCACUUUGUGAUUCAUGACUGGGGUGAAGUCGUAACAAGGUAACCG